rnacentral:tRNA from 1 species
UGGGGAUUAGUUCAGUGGUUCAGAACGUCACUUUUACACAGUGAAUGUCGUUGGUUCGAUUCCAACAUCCCCAA